rnacentral:rRNA from 1 species
AUUGAACGCUGGCGGCAUGCCUAACACAUGCAAGUCGAACGAGUCGCGGACGGGUGAGCAAUGUCUGGGAACCUGCCUGAUGGAGGGGGAUAACGUCUGGAAACGGUAGCUAAUAUCCCAUACCAUCGUAUGUGCCUAGAUGGGCUGAGCUAGUAGGUGGGGUAAAGGCUCACCUAGGCGCCGAACCCUAGCUGGUCUGAGAGGAUGACCAGCCACACUUGAACUAAGACACGGUCCAGACUCCUACGGGAGGCAGGAGUGGGGAAUAUUGCACAAUGAGCACAAGCCUGAAUCAGCCAAUCCGCGUGAAUGAAACAGGCCUUCGGGUUGUAAAGUACUUUCCGCGGGGAAGCGUUACCCGCCGAAGAAGCACCGGCUAACUCCGUGCCAGCAGCCGCGGUAAUAC